CCGUCAAUUCCUUUGAGUUUGGGCCGUCAAUUCUCCGUCAAUUCCUUUGAGUUUCAUACUUGCGUACGUACUCCCCAGGCGGAUUACUUAUCGCGUUUGCUUGGGCACUGAGGUUCGACCCCCAACACCUAGUAAUCAUCGUUUACGGCGUGGACUACCAGGGUAUCUAAUCCUGUUUGCUACCCACGCUUUCGCGCUUCAGCGUCAGUAUCUGUCCAGUAAGCUGGCUUCCCCAUCGGCAUUCCUACAAAUAUCUACGAAUUUCACCUCUACACUUGUAGUUCCGCUUACCUCUCCAGUACUCUAGUUACACAGUUUCCAACGCAAUACAGAGUUGAGCCCUGCAUUUUCACAUCAGACUUACAUAACCACCUAGACGCGCUUUACGCCCAAUAAAUCCGGAUAACGCUUGUGACAUACGUAUUACCGCGGCUGCUGGCACGUAUUUAGCCGUCACUUCUUCUGUUGGUACCGUCAUUUUUUUCUUUCCAACUGAAAGCACUUUACAUUCCGAAAAACUUCAUCGUGCACACAGAAUUGCUGGAUCAGACUCUUGGUCCAUUGUCCAAUAUUCCCCACUGCUGCCUCCCGUAGG
rnacentral:rRNA from 1 species